AUAAAAAAAAAAAAAAGGGUAAACUUCAAAUAUCACCUCUAUGGUUUCGCACUUUCUUACUUUAGUACCAUGUGGUUUACAGGCAUGUGGUUUCAUUUUUAUCUUUUCGUCAGCUUUUCUGUUAAUUUUUGUUAAAUUAUAUACAAAAAAUUUUAGGUACUUUAUCUAGAUUUAUCGAAUAUUCACUUUAGUAUCAUUUAGUUUUAACUUUAUUACUGAUUUAACAAAAAAAAUUAGUGGAAUCGAUAAUAAAAAAAGAAAAAUAAAAUCACGGGGUACUAAAUUGAUACAAUUUAAACCAUAUGGUACUAAAGUGGGAAAGUGUGAAACCACUAGGAUGGUAUUUGAAGUUUACCUUUUCGAAUAUGAGUAUGAAAAACGAAACACUGACAGAUUUAGAUUCGAUAUGGAUUUCGUCUGUACCUGAACCUAACCCGAACCCAACCCUAACCCGAAUUAAUUUUUUAUUAUAUAAUAUGGUAAAUGUUUGGGGUUAUAUUUGAAUUUAUAUUUUAAAAUUUUAGAUCUAAUGUAAUGUGUUUUGAAAUAUAGUAAACAAGUAAUAAUUGUUUCGGGAUUUGAGUUUCCAGGUUCAGGUUGGAGUUUUGGAUUUUUGGUCGAGUUUAAGUUCGGAUUUCGAAUUUGAUAGGUGGGUUCAGAUUUAGAUUUUUAAAAAUUUACUUCAAAUUCAGCCAGUUGACAUUCCUUCGUAUAGAGAUAUGUAUGAUUUAUAAGACAAAGGAUGAAAUUCAAUCCUUAGAUUACGUAAUUUAUAAAAAAUUUAUUAUAUGAUUUAUUUGUGAACAUAGCAUUUCUUUCGUUUUUUUGUUUUUUGUUUUUGUUUUUUUUUUUUUUUUGUGCUGCUUAAACAUGUCUGUUUCUCCCUACCAUAAAAAUCCAUAAUAGAUAUUUUAUCCCAGAAGCCAGAGAAUUAAGAUUCUCAUUUUAGAACAAAUAUGCAGAGCUUCGAAUUUCUGAUCUUCAAUGUAUAUUCACUUUAGAAAUCUAAUAAUCUGUCGACACCUCAAUAAGCGAGAAUCAAUGAGUGGAGUCGAAGUGACAGCAAAUUAAUGAUCUACAAAGCAAGAUCAGUGGAGAUAAAGUGACUUGGAAAAUGUCUCAUCAAGUGAUUUUUCUACAUCGACACAUAUUUACGUUGCUUUAUCUGUCGUUCAUGCUGCUUUGAAAUUUUGAAAAGCGAUAGCAAGUGAUCUACGAACGAGAAGAGUGCAGAAGAAAAAGUGUCGUGGAACAUAUCUCGUCAAAUGAUUUUUCUACUCCGACACGUUUUUAUACUGCAUUAUUUGAUGUUCGAUCACGUCGCUUUAAAACUUUUAAUCGAUUAGUUGAUAAAUAGUGACUAACACAGCCUCAAAAUAGAAACAAUCAAUCUCUGGUAAAUAUCUGUUGUGAUUCGAGUCGGUCACCCAUUAAAAAGAAUAUAUUUGAAUAAGGAACAUCUUAUAUUCUCUUAUUGCCUCCCACUAUAUAUAUCCGCCGUUUAAUGUGGAUUUAGACGAAAAAUUUCUAAAUUAGAACAGACCUUAAAGUUUCAGAUGCGGAGCGAAUUAUAUAGUUUUCCAAAUUAUUUCAACGAGUCCUCAAUGAAGUCGUGCUCAACGUAUUUGUGAAUCGAUCCAGCAGCUGGCACUACAAUAAAAACGGUCUAUAGCGACACUUUUAAAUGUAGGUAUAGGUUAAAAAAAAUAUUGCUGGCUAAAUUACCGAUACUUUUAAAAAGUGUUGCUAUAUGUGGGGUCGCUAGGUAUAUAGUGAUAGUUAAAGAGUGUCGCUGUAAUCUAAAAAAGUGCUAGUAAUUAGCAACACUUAUUUAAGCAUCUAGUAACCGCCGGAACUCUAUCUCGUUGGCUGCUGUGGCGAAGGAGGACGAGAGGGAAGGGCUACUCGUCUAGGAUUUCAGUGGAUUGAGUGAAGGGAGAAGGGGAGAUGGUAAUUAAUUUUUCUUUUUUUUUUCUUUUUUGUUUGGAAUCGCGCCAAAUGGGCUGGGUUGGGUGGGUUGAGUAUAGUAACCUUUUAUUUUUUGUUGGAUUCGGCUUUAUAUUUAGGCAUUAGAAUAUGUUUUUUUAAAUUUUAACAUAAAUGGGACACUUAGACAAAAGUGUCCUAAGUAUGUGUCCCUAUAACCUAAUUCUGUUGUAGUGUGGUGACAUUACGCUAUUUCUAUUGGUUAUUCAAUUCGCAUAUGACAUGGUAGACCUUGUCCAUGAAAUAAUUUUCUCUAUCAUGACACCAAAUGUUGCAAACCCCCACUCAAAAUUAAACAUAAAAGAGAAGGAAUUGUGACUAAAUAAGAAAAAAAAAAAAAAAAAGGCAAUUGGCUAUGAGUGGCUUGUAAGUGCAUGCUUUAAAGACUUAUUUUCACUGUGUUAUCAGAAUCCCUAUGCUGAGACUAUCACAAUCAAAUGAUGUUAAAUGCUCCCCACUUGCUGGAAAAUCAUUUGCAUAUCUUAUCAAAGAUUUUAAGUGUUAAAACUUGUCCCUCAAGUUCAAUUUUAGGCCUGAGAUUUGAAUCUUUGUAGUAAAAUUAUUACCAGCACGUAAGCAUCAUCCGCAAAGUUGUGCACCGUUUUCAAUCAGCUCGAAAAAUUUUACAUUGAAAAAGAACUACAACGUAAUACAUUGAUCGUAAAAUACUUUCAAAAAUCAGAAUGCUGAAUAUGCUAUAAAAGUUUGAGGACCCAAAUUAAUAAAAUUAGGCUAAACCUUGGUGGACAGUGGUGCAACAUAUCCAAAAAUUUAGUAUACAUGACUCUCUAUCUUUCUCCAUGCAUAUUUUUCAUGGUAGGACCAACCCAAGAAGAAAAAAUGAAAAAUCCAAAGAGAUAACUAUUGUCACCAUCAAGCUAAGUAGAUAAACAAGUAUACCAAAAAAAAAAAAAAAAUCCUUUUUUAAAAAAACUUUGAGAGAAACAAAAAGAAGCAAUUAAAAAAGAAAGGAAUCACAGGGUCCUAUGUGGCAUGCAAUGUGUGGCUAGCUCAUUUCUGCCACUUGUUUGUUCAUGAUUGGUUGUUGAGGCAAGAUUAGUUAAUUUCCUUUAGUUUAGUGUUUGUGAUCUUGUAGUGUACUUGUUGUGUGAUUUUGUGUUAUCCUCAAUUUGCAUAGCAAACCUCUCCCUUGAAAACACAAGGACUAUCUAAGUAUUUAUAUUACUUGGCUUCUGAAAUAGCUUAUUCUAUUAAAGAAGCAGAAACGACAUGCUUUGCAAAGUACAUGUUCAAGAGUUUUUAGUUGCUGCACUGCUGAAGAAAAACAAGUUAUAACUAGUGUUUUACUUUUGUUUGAAGCUUUGUUAAGGAAGAUUUUGAUGAAAAAGUUGUUAGGAUCUACUAAAAAAGCAAAAGCCGCAUAAUUGUAAUUGCAAAUUCUAGAGCUUCUGAUUGUUGUGAAACUGAAGAUGAAAAGAUUCUAAUAGAAAUGUUUUUAGGAUUUUUCGAACAGCAACUCCUAAAAGUACUUUUCUGGAAGCUCGUAGCGUGCCAAACUAAGGUAGAAAAACUAUAUAUGUUCUUGAACGCGUCGCUAACAUCCCCUCGCGUGUUCUAAGAGCUAUUAUAUUUUAAGAUAAGAGACAAUAUGAUCUCUCCAAGUUAAUAGAACAAUUCUUCUCUAACCAAAAAGGGUUAGAAAGUUGUUUAAGUUUCAUUAUAAAUUUUUAUUUUUGAAAAGUAAGUGAUUUGGUAGGUUGAUGAGCUCAAUAGAUAAUCUUUUUACACAUAGUGAAUGAAACUUUAGAGUUUAAUAAUAGUCGAGUACAAUUAUAUAAUCUUUGUGAUAUCAUUAAAUAGAAGUACAUUCUUUUGUAGCCUCUCAAUGUUAAAAUUGCUAUUUUGUUCUUUAAAAUUCAACUUUUUUUUUUCAAAUUUUUAUUGUGUAUUUGCAUUGAGUUACAUUACUCUCUCUGUUACAACCUGUUUGGUUACAUGAAUAUCUUGUUCAGCAUUGCUUGUUCUCUUCCAUUUCAUUAGACUAGAUCAAGAUAAAUAUGGUUAAAGAGAUGAAUAUUAGAGAUGGAAUUAUGAUGGCAAAACCCAAGAUAAUCUAGAUUUUUGCAGGGAUUUACUAGUCAUUUGGCUAAAUUACACUGUUACGUUCUCAAAUGUUGAGGCGCGUGACACUUAGGAAUGAAACACUGAAAUAUUGUAAUCAAAUUUUACAUUCUCAGUUCAAUUAAUUAAGUUGACUGAAUAAUGAUGUAUCACUGACGUGACAGUAACAUUGUAGUGUUGUAGUCAAUAUAUGGCAAUGUUACCACAUCAGCGACGCAUCAGCACUCAACCAACUAAAUUAGACUGUGAAAUUUUAAUUGCAAUCAUUUGAAUAAUUAAUUUGAACCAAAAUUAUAAUAAACUAGAAUUUGAAAAUUAAAGUGUCACUCGUCUUGUGGUUUGAGAAACCAAAAGAGAAGGUGUUAUCUAGCCUAGUUAUUUGGUAUAGUUUGCAUGCAAGGAGCAUUAUCUUAGCAAUUAUAUCUCUUUCGACUUAACAUGCCCAAUCUUAAUUAGCUUGGCAACUUNAUUACUUGGCUUCUGAAAUAGCUUAUUCUAUUAAAGAAGCAGAAACGACAUGCUUUGCAAAGGACAUGUUCAAGAGCUUUUAGUUGCCGCGCUACUGAAGAAAAAGAAGUUAUAACUAGUGUUUUACUUUUGUUUGAAGCUUUAAUUGUCAAGGAAGAUUUUGAUGAAAAAGUUGUUAGGGUCUAAUAAAAAAGCAAAAGCCGCAUAAUUGUAAUUGCAAAUUCGAGAGCUUCUGAUUGUUGUGAAACUGAAGCUGAAAAGAUUAUAAUAGAAAUGUUUUUAGGAUUUUUCGAACAACAACUCCUAAAAGUACUUUUCUGGAAGCUCGUAGCGUGCCAAACUAAGAUAGAAAAACUAUAUAUGUUCUUCAAAUCGUCGCUAAUAUCCCCUCGCGUGUUCUAAGAGCUAUUAUAUUUUAAGAUAAGAGACAAUAUGAUCUCUCCAAGUUAAUAGAACAAUUCUUUGCUAACCAAAAAGGGUUAGAAAGUUGUUUAAGUUUCAUUAUAAAUUUUUAUUUUUGAAAAGUAAGUGAUUUGGUAGGUUGAUGAAUUCAAUAGAUAAUAUUUUUACACAUAAUAUAGACAGUAGCUAGUGAAUGAAACUUUAGAGUUUAAUAAUAGUCAAGUACAAUUAUAUAAUCUUUGUGAUCUCAUUAAAUAGAAGUUCUUAAUUUCUUUUGUAGCCUCUUAAUGUUAAAAUUGCUAUUUUAUUCUUUAAAAUUUCACCUUUUUUCAAAUUUUUAUUGUGUUUGCAUUGAGUUACGAUUACUUUCUCUCUUUUACAACCUGUUUGGUUACAUGAAUCUCUUGUUCAGCAUUGCUUGUUCUCUUCCAUUUCAUUGGACUAGAUCAAGAUAAAUAUGGUUAAAGAGAUGAAUAUUAGAGAUGGAAUUAUAAUGGCAAAACCCAAGAUAAUCUAGAUUUUUGCAGGGAUUUAUUAGUUAUUUGGCUAAAUUACACUGUUAUGUUCUCAAAUGUUGAGGCGCGUGACACUUAGGAAUGAAACACUGAAAUAUUGUAAUCAAAUCUUACAUUCAGUUCAAUUAAUUAAGUUGACUGAAUAAUGAUGUAUCACUGACGUGACAAUAAUAUCGUAGUGUUGUAGUCAAUAUAUGACAAUGAUACCACAUCAGCGACGCAUCAGCAUUCAACCAACUAAAUUAAACUGUGAAAUUUUAAUUGCAAUAAUUUAAAUAAUUAAUUUGAACCAAAAUUAUAAUAAACUAGAAUUUGAAAAUUAAAGUGUCACUCGUCUUGUGGUUUGAGAAACCAAAAGAGAAGGUGUUAUCUAGCCUAGUUAUUUGGUACAGUUUGCAUGCAAGGAGCAUCAUCUUAGCAAUUAUAUCUCUUUCGACUUAACAUGCCCAAUCUUAAUUAGCUAGCAACUUGUUAAUUCAGUAACAAUUAAAGAUCUACAUGAGAAAAGGACACAACAAAUACAAAAUUGGCUAGUCUUACCCAAAUAUUUUAGAAACUAGUUUUGAAGGCUUACAAACUCAACUUUGGAGGACUAUAAUAAGAUUUUCUUUUGUUUUUCAGAGAGAUACAACAUGCUAUUCCCUUUUUUCUUUUUUCUUUUUUUUCUUUUGGUUAGAAAUGAACUCAGCUAGAAAUAUAAAGUAACAAUAUUUCGAACUUACCGACCGUCCCUAGAGCAAGUGGCAAAGGGCUUGGUGGUUGGUACUCGAGACCCAAGUUCGAAUCCUAGUUGAUUUACAUUUCCAGCUAAGUUUAUUUCUAAAUGAAAUAAACGAAGCGGGUAGCGUGCUACCUAUCUCUCCUCUAGUACUAAAAAUAAAUGAGUUUAGGGUUACAUCAAAUGUGAUCUCAUCUACAAAAAGUCUCCUCAUAAACUUGGAUUCUCUCCAUAUAGUAGAAAGGGAACACCAUUUUAUUUAAUGGUCUUAUUGAAUUAAAAAUAAGAACUAAUUGAACCUCCAUGAUAAGUGACAUAAACUGAACAAUGAGAAUACAGAUUUUUUUUUAAUCAGUUGGAUUACUUAGUUUCUUUUUUGAUAAUCUAUCAUCAUCAAAUCAGGCCCUAAUGACAAUGACAAUAAAACCUAAAUAAAAAAAAAUAAAUAAUUUGGCCCUAUUACCCUCUUCUUCUAAAAGAUUUAAAUAUUUUUUGACCCAGACAAUUAACCAAAUUGGACCUAAUACUUUUGACAUGACAAUUUAGAUUUUUGUGAGUAGUUUGAUUCGCAAUUACAUUAUGAAAGAGAUUUACCAAGCAGUUAAUAUUGGUCUGUAAACUAGCUCUCUUAUACAUGCAGUCUUGCAAGAUUAAUUGAUAUGAAACUAUCCAGAAAUAGUAACUGACCGUUGACAGUGGUGCAACAUAUCCAAAAAUUUAGUAUACAUGACUCUCUAUCUUUCUCCAUGCAUAUUUUUCAUGGUAGGACCAAGCCAAGAAGAAAAAAUGAAAAAUCCAAAGAGAUAACUAUUGUCACCAUCAAGCUAAGUAGAUAAACAAGUAUACCAAAAAAAAAAAAAAAUCCUUUUUUAAAAAAACUUUGAGAGAAACAAAAAGAAGCAAUUCAAAAAGAGAGGAAUCACAGGGUCCUAUGUGGCAUGCAAUGUGUGGCUAGCUCAUUUCUGCCACUUGUUUGUUCAUGAUUGGUUGUUGAGGCAAGAUUAGUUAAUUUCCUUUAGUUUAGUGUUUGUGAUCUUGUAGUGUACAUGUUGUGUGAUUUUGAGUUAUCCUCAAUUUGCAUAGCAAACCUCUCUCUUGAAAACACAAGGACUAUCUGAGUAUUAAUAUUACUUGGCUUCUGAAAUAGCUUAUUCUAUUAGAGAAGGAGAAACAACAUGCUUUGUAAAGUACAUGUUCAAGAGCUUUUAGUUGCCGUGCUACUGAAGAAAAACAAGUUAUAACUAGUGUUUUACUUUUGUUGGAAGCUUUGUUAAGGAAGAUUUUGAUGAAAAAGUUAUUAGGAUCUAAUAAAAAAGCAAAAGCCGCAUAAUUGUAAUUGCAAAUUCGAGAGCUUCUGAUUGUUGUGAAACUGAAGCUGAAAAGAUUCGAAUAGAAAUGUUUUAGGAUUUUUCGAACAACAACUCCUAAAAAUACUUUCUGGAAGCUCGUAGCGUGCCAAACUAAGGUAGAAAAACUAUAUAUGUUCUUGAACGCGUCGCUAAUAUCCCCUCGCGUGUUCUAAGAGCUAUUAUAUUUUAAGAUAAGAGACAAUAUGAUCUCUCCAAGUUAAUAGAAUAAUUCUUCUCUAACCAAAAAGGGUUAGAAAGUUGUUUAAGUUUCAUUAUAAAUUUUUAUUUUUGAAAAGUAAGUGAUUUGGUAGGUUGAUGAGCUCAAUAGAUAAUCUUUUUACACAUAAUAUAGACAGUAGCUAGUGAAUGAAACUUUAGAGUUUAAUAAUAGUCAAGUAAAAUUAUAUAUUAAUCUUUGUGAUCUCAAUAAAUGGAAGUACUUAAUUUCUUUUGUAGCCUCUUAAUGUUAAAAUUGCUAUUUUGUUCUUUAAAAUUUAACUUUUUUUUUCAAAUUUUUAUUGUGUUUGCAUUGAGUUACGUUACUCUCUCUUUUACAACCUGUUUGGUUACACAAAUAUCUUGUUCAGCAUUGCUUGUUCUCUUCCAUUUCGUUUGACUAGAUCAAGAUAAAUAUGGUUAAGAGAUGAAUAUUAGACAUGGAAUUAUAAUAGCAAAACCCAAGCUAAUCUAGAUUUUUGCAGGGAUUUAUUAGUUAUUUGGCUAAAUUACACGGUUCGUUAUCAAAUGUUGAGGCAUGUGACACUUAGGCGUGAAUCACUAAAAUAUUGUAAUCACAAGUCUUAUAGUUUAAUUAAGUUGAUUGAAUAAUAAUGUAUCACUGACAUGACAAUAAUAUUGUAGUGUUGUGGUUCAAUAUAUGGCAAUGACACCACAUCAGUAACGCAUCAGCACUCAACCAACUAAAUUAGACUGUGAAAUUUUAAUUGCAAUAAUUUAAAUAGUUAAUAUGAACCGAAAUUAUAAUAAACUAGCUAGAUUUUGAAAAUUAAAGUGUCACUCGUCUUGUGGUUUGAGAAACCAAAAGAGAAGGUGUUAUCUAGCCUAGUUAUUUGGUAUAGUUUGCAUGCAAGGAGCAUUAUCUUAGCAAUUAUAUCUCUUUCGACUUAACAUGCCCAAUCUUAAUUAGCUUGGCAACUUGUUAAUUUAGUAACAAUUAAAGAUCUACAUGAGAAAAGGACACAACAAAUACAAAAUUGGCUAGUCAUACACCCAAAUAUUUCAGAAUCUAGUUUUGAAGGCUUAAAACCUCAACUUUGGAGGACUAUAAUAAGAUUUAAUUUUUAUUUUUUUCAGAGAGAUACAGCAUGCUAUUCGCUUCUUUUUUUUUUCUUUUUCUUUUGGUUAGAAAUGAACUUAGCUCGAAAUAUAAAGUAACAACGCUUCGAAGUUGGGACCUUAGAAACUAGCUAUCAGACCCUUUGUCACUUGCGCUAGGCGCGGUCGGUAAUAAACUUCAAUUGUUUAGUUGUUACACUACUUAACUCACUCGACAAUUGUCCUGUGCUUGAAUUCUUAUUUGAUUGAACAAUAAAUAUAGAAACACUAUUCUUGGCAGCUUAAUUUUUUUCAGAGAAAGCAACUGUUUUACAUAAUAAUAAAAUAGGAGGUUGUAAGUUCAAAUCUCAGCCAACUUUUCAGACUUUUAUUAUGUCUUAAACCAGAUGUGAGGAGAAGCGUUGAAUAUUAAAAUUAACACAUCAUUCUCUAACAUCUUAAACUUGUUAGAAAAUAAUUUUGUACAUUAAUCAAAGUAAGUUUAACAAGCUUAUUAGAUUGAGAAAAGUAAAAGUUACAACUUGCAAGUAGUUUGAUGCCUCUAGUAUCUAAAAAUAAAUGAGUUUAGGGUUACAUCAAAUGUGAUCUCAUCUACCAAAAAGUCCUCUAAACUUGGAUUCUCUCCAUAGUAGAAAGGGACACAUUUUAUUUAACUGGUCUUUGAAUUAAAAAUAAGAAAUAAUGAACCUCCUAGUGACAUAAAUGAACCAAUGAGAAUGCAGAUUUUUUUACAUCAUUGGAUUACUUUAGUUUCUUUUUUGAAUCUAUCAAUCAUCAAAAUCAGGCCUAAUGAACAAUGACAUAAAACCCUAAAAAAAAAAAAAAAUGGCCCUAUUACCCUUCUUCUUCAUAAAGAUUAAUAUUUUUGACCCAGACAAUUAACCAAAUUGGACUAAUACUUUGACAUGAAAAUUAGAUUUUUUGCAGUAGUUUGAUUUGCGAUUAGCGUCACGAAAGAGAUUUACCAGGAGUUAAGAUUGGUAUGAUAAGACCAGCUCUUAUACCAUACGGUACUUGCAAGAUCAAUCUGAUAUGAAACUAUUCAGAAAUAAUCUUCACAACUGCAUUACAAUCGUGUUGUUUGCAUGAGAAUUGUUAAAAGGCUCGACAUUACGUACAAGUCAAUAACUUUAGCUAAAAGGAAGCGACGACACCUUCAUAUUUGUAUCCAAUAUGUGGCUAAUAUACUUAACCAGCAUUAUAUAUCCUUUUUUUUUUGUAGAAAUCUUAUGGAUAUUAUUAUUCAAUUAUAGGAGAAGCAGAAACUUACAAAGAAUCCUUGUUUUUUUUUUUUUUUUCUUAUCUAUACCUACCUAUACAUUAUUUCUCUUGGAGUUUGCCACGUGGCAAUUCCUCCUUCAUCCCUUCUUUUCACUCCAAAAUUUCUAUUCUCUAAUUAUUACUUCUCUGUAACGUCUGUCUCUUCGACUUUCCGUCUUAUUAAUUUUUUCCCUGUAACGUUUGCCUCUUCAGUUUUCCGUCUCAUUAAUUUCUUUUCUGUAACGUAUGUCUCUUUGGCUUCCCAUCUCAUUAAUUUCUUCUCUGUAACGUCGCUGCUUCGACUUCCCCCUUAUUAAUUUCUAUGUUCUAAGAGGCGUUGCCCGAGAAGCCCCUGGGCAUGGCAUAUGGCGUCCUCGACAACGACCUCGCCUACUACGUCCGCUCCAACCUCAAGCCUCGCAGGCGUGCCACCCUUGCCCUUGCCGUCAACGUCGAGUGAGUCGAACUCUAACCCUAGCCUUGAAUCUUCCUCCCUCGAUCUCGACCACUUAAAUUUGUAAUAUAUAGUUAUACAAAGCGUGUGUAUCCCUCUCCUCUAAUAGUCUCGGAGGACACAAAGUAUCAAUUAAAAUAUGGACUUGUUGAAAAGGGGUUGAAGGCACUGUGGUACUUCACGAAAUUAUCGGUGUUAGUAGAAAAUGUCCUAAAUGAGGAUACAAAGUGGUCCGAUUUUUAUGUAACAAAUUUUUUUCUCCUAUAAUUUUUUUUUUUAUCUUUUGUUGUUUUUCAUUGAAUUAUAAUUUUAUUUUAAAAUUUUUAAAGUAUUUUUUAUAUUAUUAAAUUUAAUCAAAUAUGAUUAUAUCGGCCGCAUCGCGCGGGUUCCUACACUAGUGAAACAAAAAGGUUGCUCAGAAACCUAGUCAUCUUAAUUUUUACUUUUCUUAUUAUUUUUUUGGCAUUAUAUUAUUAUGGGCCCAUCGCAAGGCCCAAUAACAAAUGGGCUGUAAUUUUGAUUGGAUCAUGACAACAUUAUGGACUUGGUGAAAAUUUACAGAGAGAUUGAAAUUUGUAUAAUAUAAUGAGGAAAAUGUACAAUGGCCCCAAAACUUUAGCAUUUUUGCAAACAGAUCUAUGAACUUUUAUAUUUAGCAAUGAGAAUAUGAUAAUUCCAAACUUUUGCACUUUUACAUUAUAUAUAUUGCUAAAUUAUAGAAAGCCCCUUUGCACUUUAAUUAGCCCCGUUCUCAAUUACCCUCCACAAUAAAAAUUGCAUCAAUUGUCAUUCUAUACUUUGUCGCUAUUUCGGAUAGAUCCAAAAAGUUUAGAAAAUUGGCAAAUUAGACUAUAAAACUUUACAAAAAAAUAAGUUGGCAUAUCACAUUGUUCAACAUCUUAACAUAUAUUCAUUUGCAACUCAAAAAAUCUAUUAAAAAAGUAGAUAAAUGAAAUCUCUUAUAUUGCUAAUACUAUCAAAAUUGAUAGUUUAUUGAGUAAUUUAUUUAAUUUAUAUGGUUCAAUUGUAUUACUUAUUGAUAACUUUAUUUAUAAAUUUAUUUUUAUAACUUUUUAUAAUGUUUUAUAAAAAUAUUCCAAAUAAUUAAGCCUAUUUGAGAUAUUAACAAAAUAUAGGACAAUAAUUGAUACAAUUUUUUAUAUCAGGGGUGCAACCGAGACAAACGCUAAAGCGCAAGGGUAUAUUUUUUAUAAUUUAGCCAAUAUAUAGUUGAGCGAGGGUUGUCAACGGGUUGGAUUCAAAGUAGCUCUUUCAAAACCCGAAUCCGAACUCGAAGGAUUAUGAAAAUUCAUAUCCAAACUCGACCACCACCAAAAAUCCAAAGCCUGAGCACGAACCUGAAAAUCUAAACCCAAAAUAAUUAUUUUUCUUUAUCAUAUUUCAAAAUAUAUUAUAUUAAAAUUUAAAAUUCAAAAACACAAGUGUAAAUAUAGAACAAAACAUUAAUAUACAUUAUGUAAUAUAAAAUGAAUUCAGGUUCGGAUUGAAUAGCGACAAAAUUCAAAUCUAAAUUCAAAUCCACCGAAUUUUUAUAUUUUGUACUCAUAUUCGAAUCAUAUCGGUUUAGCAUGAGAUAAACCAACUCUGUUCGGAUUCGAAUUCGGAUAAAAUUUAAGGUAAUCCUACUUGUGCUAAACCGAUAUUGUAUAGUUGAGGGGGCUAGUUCAAAAUAUGCUAUAGUUGAGGGGUCUCCAUACAUUUUUACCGAGAGAAUACGAUUUCAAUGGAGUGCGAAAACGAAGGGGAUAACAAUGGCCUCAUCCUACACAAUGUGCUCCGCGAAGUUAUCUCCCUCCCCUUCUCCACCCCUCUCCUCCCAUGGCGUCGUCGUCGCGCUCCUCCCCUCUCCUCCCAUGGCGUCGCUCUCCUUCGCCUCCUCCAUAUCCCUCUCCAACCUCCCUCUCCCCCUCCGCACCCACCACCACCCUCCUCCCACUCCUCCCACUCCUACCGCUCCCACACUCUUCGCCGCAGCGGCCUACGGCGCGAAACCCUACAAGGUACCGCUUUUUACCUGCUCGAUCACCGUUUUCGAUCAGUUUGGGGGCGAGACCCAUGUCUUCGAUCCUCGUUUCUAGGGUUCGGUGAAGCGGCUUUGGAGCCCGCGGGGGAAGAAGAGCGUCAAGAGGAAGAGGAAGAAGAAGCAGCAGCUUCGGCUCUCGAAAAUGGUCGGCCCCUUUAUCCGAUCCCUCUUGCGUGGUUUGAUUUGGCUUGGUAAUUAUAAUAGUCGUGCUGAUUUUAAGAAGCUUCUAGUGGCAUUGUGUUAUGGCGAAAAGAAUCCGAUUUUUUUGGUGAUUUUUUUGGAUUUGGUGAGAAGGAUGCGUAGAUUAGUCAAAUUAUUGGUUUAGAGUAAUGAAUUGUAGAUGCUGCGAUUCUAGAGAAUUAACAUUGUGGGUGUUUGAUGCUGCAUUUGCUCAAAUCCUACAUAAUUAUGAACUUUUUAGUUAUUUUCUUGGGAAUCAAAUUGAUAUAUUUACUUUGAUUAAACUGAGGGUUUGUUAAUGUUCAAUUGAUUGCUACAGAAUAUAGCCAUUAAAACUGCUUUUAAUUUUUAUAGCUGAUUUUUUUGGUUUCCUCUUUCGUGGUUUGAUUUGGUCUAGUAAUUAUAAUAAUCGUGUUGAUUUGAAGGUUCUAGUGGCAUUGUGUUAUGGUGAAAAAAAAGUUCGAUUUUUGUCGUGGUUUUAUUGAAUUUUAUGAGAAGUAUUUGUAGAUUGGUCAAAUCAUUGGUUUGGAGUAAUGAAUUGUAGAUGCUGCGAUUUUAGAGAAUUAACAUUGUGGGUGUCUGAUGCUGCAUUUGCUCAAAAGGUACAUAUUUGUGAAUUUUUUUCAUUGAUUUUUUGGUAAUCAAAUUGAUGUGUUUAGUUUGAUUAAACUGACGAUUGUGUUAAUGUUCAAUUGACUGCGACGGAAUAUAGCCAUUAAAACUACUUUUGAUGUUUAUAGCUGAUUUUUGUUUUUUGGUUUCCUUUUCCUAUUCAUGCGAAUGUCAUUACUUAUGCUUAUGUAUACUGUGCUUGCUAUUGUCAUUAUAUUGGGAACAAACAAGCAGUAUUUGCUUUGAUAUGAUAAAGAACAACUGCAGAAUUUGUUGAUGUUAAAUAAGAUGAAAUUAUGUAAGACAGGUCGAAUCCUUGUACUUGUUAUCUAUUGAUAAUUUAAGGAUGAUUCAAAUUUCUUUCACAAUAUAAUUGUGUUGAGGCUAGCAUAAUUACAUUACGAAAACUUCUCCUGAAUAAUUGUGGUUGGUGUGCUUACUAUGUGGGUGAGGUUUUAUAGAACAUAAACCAUGGGAGACAAUAAUUUGGUGGCUGAAAUAUAGAUGGUUUAAAUAUGUAUGCAACAGGGGUAGUUCCGUUGAAAAUUUUCCAUGAUCAAGAUGUGUUGGUUUUGGAAUGAUAAAGUUAAUUUUCUGUAGUUUACUUACUAAUGUUUCUCAUGCUUCGAGUUUGGAUGGGAAUGUUGAAACUUGAGAGUGGGUGAGAAGUAAAUAAACUGGCUGUGUUUAUGAUUCAAAAUGUUGGGUUGUUGGAAAAUAAUGUUUUUUAAAACUAUAUACAUACAUAUGCGCAUGAUAAAAAAAAAAUGUUGAGAUUGGUGUCUCGCUUUGCUGGUAAAGAUGAUUUAAGGAAAUAUAGCUUUGUAGCAAAUUAGUAGAACAAUUGGAGAAUUUUAACAUGAGGAAGUUGUUUAGGAUAUUACAAUACAUCAUAUCAACAAAAACUUACUAGCGUACAAAUCAGGAGUGAUUCCUUCCAACAAGAAGGUAUCACAAGAGGAUGGGAACGUAAAAGCAAUGUCCUGUAACUUGAAUAAUGAUUCUAUAUCUAACUACACUGUAAUCUUUAAAUUAAUAUUGAAGUGAAUAAGUAAUGUAUUACAAUUCAAAUUGGGCUACAAGUUACGCCUCAUAUCCAAUCCAAGUGUAUCAAUUUAUUUCUAUUGAACAAAGGUCGGGGUUGAUAUGCUAUUGUAGACAUUCGAAACAUGAGUGUUGCCUUCUAGUAAACCAAUUAGUUGACUCUUUUAAUCCUUUUUUCAGCUUCUACUUUCAGCUUCUACUUUCAGCUGCAGUUCACUUUAAUACAUCAUAUGGCAAACAAAAAACAAGUCCGGAUCCUCUUCUGCUUUGGGUGCUAAAAUGAGAUUCUGUAAUCCUGCUUUGGAUACUAAAACAAUAGUUUAACCUCCAUCAUUUCUCUAGUACUAUCCUUUAUUGCAGCCAUGAACGGUUUGAUGCUAUCCAUGAAGUGUCAUCCUUUAACUUGGUUUCUUUAAAUGUUAUUACAGUUAAACUACAUUAUGUAAGUAGAGAUAUAGUCACUAGUAUCAGUAUAUAAUCUUGGAAAUGUGUCUUGGGCCUUGUUUUUUAACAUAGUUCUUCUUAGUCUUGAAGUACAAGAUAAUUGAGUCUUCUUCUAAUCAACUAAGGUUCAUUUGCACUGUAAGUACGAGACAUAAACAUUGAGCAACACAGGGAUUGAUUUAUGAAUAGAAAUUGAUGGCUAAUUAUUUUUCGAACUUCUUCCUCAAUCCUCAUCUAUUUUCUUCUUUCUAUUUGGCAACUGUUAUGUUUCAGAUUUUACAUCUCCAAGACAAUCUGGCAGAUUUCUUUUUACUCUUCUUCACCUCAAAUUGAAAAAAAAUUGAAGUGUUCUUUCUCUUCUCAUUCUGUAUAUGUGUCUAAGUCCAGCUAACCCCGGUUACGCUUUCUCUUUUUGUAGUCAUAGAUUUGUCUGGAUUCAAAAAGGUCCAGAUCUAGAUAUUCUUAAUAACUAAUAAAAUUUUAGCAGUGAUCAACUGGACAUAAGAGACCUACUAAAGAUAUGUCCAUUUUUUCCAAUUCGUCCAUAUUUACAUUCAUGUAAAUCUCCUACACCGACAAGAUCGAACAUGUUGUUGAUAAAAAUGCAGCUAGGUAGUAAGAAGAACAAAAUGACAGAGAUUAAAAUUUAUGGCAUUCUGAUCUCAAAUCUAUUGUGAGCUUAUUUUAUUACCUGUUCUUUAGUUCCAUGAUAACAUCCAUAAUUUCUGUUGACGGGGUAUUUAGUUAGCAUCUCUUUAAGUAUUCUGCAACCAUAAAUUGAUAACACAUAAAUUAAAUGUGAAUUUGAAAUGGAUCGAACCCCUUAUCUAUGAUGCUGUAUCUGACAUUACACAAGUUGGAUCUUAUAGCAGAUGAGGUUCGUUUUGGACAACGAGCCCUAGGGGUCGCAUUAAUUUGUCUAAACCAGAUACAGAUAUGGAUUAUAUUUCAGAUGCAAAGUAAAGAACCAGUUUCGUUAAAACUGGAGGUACAAACCAGAUAAUAAGUGGCUGGCUACUUAGUUUUAAAUGAAGCAUCAGACUUUUAACUUGCGGAAGGUUACGUAAAUUAGUUGGAAAAGAUACAAUUAGUCACCAUUAUGGAAAACUAUUACUAAAGUGAAAUGUGUCUCAGUUUGCUCAACUCCAAUAUGUGUCUCUCAUGUUCAUCAAAUGCUCCAUUGUUAUCCCUGAUUACUAGUGUUGAAAUAACUGCUCUUCAAACAUGGGUAGAUGUUCAUUGAAAACCUUUGUUUUUCUUCUUUCCGUUCUAUCUUUAUUUCUGUUAGCACAAACGACUAUGGUAAUGUGAUUGGUGAUUGUCCUUUAAUUUUUCGACUCAUUUAGCUGAUCCAGUGACUCAUGAUUAACCAGAUCCCUUCUUUAUAUGUUUUAGUGUAGUACUUAGCCAUAAUUAGUUCAUGUAUUUUGAGGAAAAUGAGUGCGUAGUGCACUCAAAUUCCUUUCAUUAACCUUAAAAACCAAUUUCAUUUGGUGAACUGAGAUGUAAGCUUCAAGCUUGGUAUAUAUUAUUGAGUAAUCCAGUUUAUAGUAUUGGAGUUUUAGUUCUAAUGUUUCACCCUGCACAAAAUUUGAUGAUUUGGUUCACUUGGAAGAGUAUUUGCAAAUAAAAAAACUAUAAUCAAUCAUUCUCAUGUGCAUUUGACCAAUACUUUUUUAAUUUUUGUAUAUGCUACAUUACAUUAAGAAAAAAACAUAGAGAGAGACUCAUGAACUACAUCUUAUAGGCUUAUAGCCCUAAUCCAUUUAGGAGAUGUAGCAUAUAAAAGAUUGUAUAAAUAUUGUCACAUGUAUUAGACUCUACCAAUGACCAGUGUGAAACAGAGAAUUGUUUGUUUUUCAAGGAAUUAUUAUAUAUGUUGGGAAAUUACCUAAUAUUCCUUACUUAUUUAAGCAUUUUGAUAUUAGAGAAAAAGAGAAAAGUGCACUCUCAUCUCUAAUUUUUAAUUUAGGUAUACGAUGUAUCGUAGUUGCUAAUGAUACUUUUUAGGCUCAAAGUAGAGCACACGCAUCUGAGCCAUUCACUGUAAGAGUGUUCAUGCAAAGGUGUGCAAAGCGAACUUCUUUUAAAAAGCAACUAAUCUUUAGAUUAUUUUAUAUAUAUAUAUAUAUAUAUAUGGGACUUGGAUCCUAAACAACCUAGUUCGUAACUUAUUGGACUUGAAUUUGCAUGCUAUGAUUCAGUCAGAUUUGAAUUUGGAUUCAGAUUCAUUAUUUACCCGACCCACUAAUGCCCCUAAUAUAUGUUAGUUGUUUCAAUAACAAAGUAUACAUAUAUAUACUUUUAGUACAUCUAUGAAAAGGAUUGAAGUUAUAUAAAAAUAAUAGCCCAUAUAAAGAAGCAAUAUAUGGUUUAGUGCGCUCAUACCAAAUGAUUCUAUUUAAAAGUAGAUGCAAGCAUGGCUAUUCUCUCAGCAUAACUUUAGGGGGGAAUAUUCCAUAUUCCUCCUAAUCCUAUGUAUAUAUAUUAAGAAUAAAAUGUAUCCUACCAAUCAUUGUUGUACAUAACUAAUUAAUCCCUUACGUUCUUAUUCAAUAGGAUUAGUUUGUUACUUGUGUAAACCUAGGCUCUGUUUGGGUGUUGGAAUAAGAUAUGUAAUGAUACUUUAUUCCGUAUAAUUUUUUUUUUAUAUGAUUGGAAGUUAGUUGCUUAAUUUUAAAUUUUUUUUAAAAUCAUAGUAUUUAUGACUUAGUAAGAUAGCAUAUUUUACCAACGAAGUCAUUUAUUUUAUAUCGAAAACUAAUUUAGAGAUCGAAUAUGGUGUUCAUUCUAAAUGUAUAAUACGACAUGCUUCUUAAGUAAAUUAAAAAAAAAAAUACACCGAAUAAGAUGUUUAUACAUGAUCUUAUUUUUUUGUACUUUAAAUGGAAUUGGAUUUAGGAUGUGAAGAGAGAGGUUAUGCUUUGGCUCUUUGUGUAAUGCAAAACUUUAAUUUUGAUUGGAGUAAACAAAGAGAGAGAAAGAGAGAGACAGAAUAAGAGUAGAAGCUUCAAAUUAGAGAGUCCGAUUAUGCCAUUUAAAAGCUCGAGUAAAUGCAGUUCGAGCUCAAUGGCAUCGCUUAUAUCAUAUGUAAAAAUUCUUUUUUGUAACAGUCCAUGUCAUGUAACAUAGUGCAGGAUAUAAUUUGAAGCAAGGGUAAUUUUAUGUUAAACAAUAGAAAAACCUCAAAUAUCUUUUUAGUAGUUUGUUGUUUUUUUUAAUUUAAUACUCUAAUAAUUUUAACUAUUUCAUAACUACUCUGUGGUAUUACUUCUCAUUUUUCAUUAUAAUUUUUAUUAAUUUUUUCAUUAAAUUCAUCACGUAGCGCGGUUGUGCGUCAGAAUUAUUCUACAAAUAUUGAUAAAAAAGACAUGAUAGGUUGGUUCUCAUAAGCAAAAAAGUAACGAUCCACGACGCAUGUGCGGAGCUCGCGACUGUUUUUGCAGAAAAAAUUAAUGAAGGGUAUAAUUCAAAAUAAAUAUAAAAAUCAUAUGAAGGGUAUAAUUCAAAAUAAAUAUAAAAAUCAUAUGUUAUUUUUAUAGGGUACUAAAAUAAAAAUGCAGUAAAUCAAAAAAAAAAAAAUAUCUGAAGCUUUUCUAAAUAAUAAUAAGGAAAAAAAAUUUAAAAUGACGUGGCACUUCGGCCACGUGGGCCCCACGCACCACCUCAUUACGCACCCAGUGGACAGUUUGACUCGUAGGAUUCCAUCAUCCUGAUCGGACGGCUACCAACGACUCUAUCCCUAUCAUGGGUGACCAAAAAAGCGUCCUAAAAAAAGUUAAAAUUUGUAAAAAUAAAAAUAAAAAUAAAAAUAAUAAAAAUAGUAAUAAUAAUAAAAUAAAUAAUAAUAGUAAAAUUCAAAAAGCGUAGCAACUUGUCGUUUUUCACUGCGUACUCAAGCACGCGGGGAUAUCAACCCCUCGUGAGUAGUAGUUUAAUCCACACUCGAAAAGUGACUACAAAUAUUGACUCCAUAAAUACUUUUAUUAUUAUUUUUAUUAUUAUUAUUUGUAGCUAAUUUUUACAAAUAGUUGGUAAAAGUUUGUGGAGACACCUUCAAUUAUAGGAUAAUUUGAAAUCGACCCUCUAACUUUGUUUGUUUGAUGCCUCUUGAUUCUUAAUUAUUCUAUUUUAAGUUGUAUAAGGGAUUUUUUUUUCUCUCGGUAAUUUCAUAUGGGAUUGGUGAUAUAUAUAUAUAUAUAUAUAUAUAUAUAUAAAAUAGGGAAAAAAAAUUUCUUACAUUAGAAAUAUAGUUGGAAUUAAUGGCUUCAUUAGCUAUUAGGUGUUGAAAUAGAAAAAAAUGAGUUAAAACUGGUAAAAUAGUAAACUUUAUUAUGAAUAAUAUUAAAUUUAGUGAAAAUUUUCAUUAGUUUGAUGUCAGUCCCUUAAAACUAGUUGAAAGUGAUCAAUAAAGAAAAUUGAAGUGAAAAAGACAAAAUUACAGGGGUCAACUUGAAAAGUGUCAAUCAUUGAAGGGGAUUUCUAAACUAUUUUUUAUCUUAUUUGUUAUAAGAAAAAAAAGAAAAACUACCAGUAUACUAUAAAAAGGAUAUAAAUCUUACAUCUCAUCCAUCCAAUAAAUAAAAUAUCACUCACUAAGCACCUGAUGUAAUUNUAUAUAUAUAUAUAUAUUAAAUUAUAAUUUAAAAAAUAAAAAUAAAAAUUUUAAAAUAAAAAAUGGUGCACCGGGUGCACCAAAAAAAAUCCUGCUGCUUCCCUUGCUGGGAGAGCAAAAGGAGCGAUGGGCCCCGCAUGAGUUGGGUGCCACACGGCACCCAUCCGGAAGUGGCUCGAAACACAUGGCACCCAUCUAGGGUAUCCCUAAAGUAAAUUUCAUGGACACAAUGUCCAUAAAAUUUUUGUCCCAUGUAUAGUGAGAGCUCUCAAAGUCCUAUAUCAAUAUUCUGAGCAUUAACUUAUUGAAAUUUCUAAAACAAUUGAACGACACAACAAUUAAGCUCGACACAGGAUGCUAGCUCCAAAAGAGGUAGUCGAUAGGUAUUGUGUGUGAGGUCGAGAUGGUCGCAAACGAACUAAAGUAAGUUUAAGUUUGACGCAAAGGACACUUACGUGAGGAAAGAGGUUGGGGGCUUAUUUUUUUCACCAAAAAUAGGCUUCGAGUAAAAAAUUAUUUCUCUUCUGCUGUCUGCUUUUGUUUGGCAAUAAGUGAACGGCGUUAAAACUAUAGUUUCUACAUAAACAAUAGAUAAUUUAAUAAAUUAAUAAAUUAUAAUAUAAUAAAUAAAAAAUAAUAUAAUUGUAUCCCUAUAUAACUAAAAAAAAUAAUUUAAAACAAAGAAAUUAAUUUUUUAUACCUAAAUUAUAAUAAAACAAUAAUAAAACCAUGGUCUUUUUUUCAAUUUAGCCCCCUGGCAAAUUUUUAUUUUAAAAAUAGCACUGUCAAAAUUUAAUUUACAAAAAUGACCCUGGUCGGGUGCCACGUCAGCGCCACGCGGGCAGGACUGAGGCCAGUGUGUUAAGUUGAACACGGUCAAUGAUUCACCAUGUUUCAUAUUUAUAUUCAUUUUCUUCUCUUUUAGGGAUGCCAACGAGUCGGGUUUGAAUCGGAUUUUUAAAAAUCCGAAAUCGAAUCCGAAAAUCAAAUUAAAAUCUGAACACGAAUCCGAGCCCGACGGAUUUUAAAAAUUCAUACCCAUAUCCAUAUAUUAAAGUUAUAUGGGUAUGAAUUUUUAAAACCCGCCGGAUUCGGAGAUCCAAAUCCGACCCAUUGACAUCCCUAAAAGAGAAAACAUGGAAUAUAAAUAUGAAACAUGGUGAAUCAUUCAUCGUGUUUGAACACGGUGAAUAGUUUACCGUGUUCAACUUAACACACUGGACCCAGCCCUGCCCGCGUGGUGCUGACGUGGCGCCUGCGUGGCAAGAUCAGGACUAUUUUUGCAAAUUAAAUUUUGACAGGAUUAUUUUUAAAAUAAAAUUUUUUCAUAGGGCCAUUUGCAAAAAAAGCCUUAAAAUCAUGUAAUAAAAGAAAUCAGUAAUACUAAACUAAUCAAUUUUUAUAAUAUUUUAAAUAUGCAAAUUAACUGAAUAAAAGCGAUACUAUAACUUAGCUGAUCAAUUUUCAUUACAUUAAUCGAGCAUUCCUAACGCAAGUAGUAAAGGACUUGAUAGUUGAUACCCGACGUCCUAAAUUCGAAAUAUAAAUUGCUUCACAUUUCCAGCUAAGUUUAUUUUUAAAAGAAAUAAACGAAACGGAUAGCAUGUUACCUUUCUCUGACUAAAUGAGAGAGUAACUAAAUAUAACUAGUAUUUACACAUUAUAUUAUUUUAUUUUUUUUAAUUAUUAAAGUCAAUUAUCAAUUAUAUUAUUUUGGAGUAACUCGAGCUUCGACUGUAUCUUCUUCUGACAAAUAAAAUAAUUUUUUACAGCAGAAGAUAACUUUACUCUUUUCCACCAUUCGUUCAAACAAACUGGCCCAAGGGAUCAAAGUGAACCAAAAAAAAAAAAAAAAAAAAAAAAAAAAAAAAUGCAAAUAGGAUAUUCAUGCAAUUAACUUUUACUAAAUAGUAUUACACCGAAUUGAAAGGGGAAAAUAAAAAAAAAUAAUAUAACUUAUUACAGUCCAAAAUUGGGAACAUGACGUGGGCCCCACAAAAGAGUGGGUCCCACUUCCUUCAAAAAAGUACAUGCUUCGAAUGGAAUCUCAUUAGGUCAGAGCCGAUUCCUCCCCCCCCCAAACCAAAAAAAAAAAAAAAAAAAAAAAAAAAAAAAAAAAAAAAAACGUAGAAAAGGGGAACGCUAACCAUAGCGAGGAAACGCGUUUCGCGCGCUCGCCGAGCGCAGGGGAAACGGUUUCCGCUCCCCGCCCCACCCCGGGAACGCGUUUCGGCCCGGUGCUCCGCGUGACACUCACGUGGGUCCCGCUCAGCCAAUGAGGGCUUCCCUCUACGCCUGGUGUCGUCGCCUGGAGAAAUUGUUCCGUAGACCGGUCUACCAGUCAUCAUUGGACCGGUAUUCGAGGUGGAUAUUAUUUGCAUAUGUGCUUUGCGUAGAAUCUUUUCAAUGUAAGAAACAACUCCGCUCUCCGCUUAGUACAAAAUAUUUUAUUUAGUACACAUCUGAUGAAAAGAGACAUGUUUUUCUACCCUUUAACAGUUACUCGUGGACAAACUGAGAGUACUGAUAAUAAAGAACUGAAACCAAACAGUACUUUUUAACUGGCCAAUAUUACUAAAUAAUCAAUCAGCUGAUCUAAUUUGUAUGAAAUUUAGAGAAUAUAUAAUUUAUAAUACGAUACGAAAUAUUUAAAUAUUAAAAACUAUAAUUGUAACUGUUUUCUAGCUAACAUAUUUUUGAAAUUAAUCAGCAAGUCCCUUGAAACAUUACUAUGUAAAAAUAUAAUAUAAUAUUUUAAUUAUUGGCACAAUACUAAUCACAAUACUGCCGUCUCUGAUACUUUAAUAUUUAAUAAACUAAAUCAAAUUAUACAUAUUUACUGAAAUAUCCAAAAAUUCGAGCAAAAAAUUAUAAUAAAUUGAACUUUGAGGAUCAAAACGUCACACUUUGUAUAGUUUCAGGGUCAAACUCGCAAUUUAUCCCUAAAAUUGUAAGGGGGUUUUUGGGGUGAAAAAGAGGGGACCGGUCUAUGGCUGACGUGGUGGACUUUAUCGGGUCUAUGUAGUAGUCUUCACCCGUCGGCAAGCGGAAAACUUCCGACGCGUACGCAUAAAUAUUUCUACGAGACCGUCGAAUGAGCUGUCAAAAUCAUCUGCUAAGGGCAUCAAAACCGUUGGAUUUAAAGUCCAAGGACGCGUGUCCGCAUAGAAAACCCUGUGCUUACGCCCCUUAUAGCGUAACGGUGAAAAUAGACGGUUAUUAUUAUUAGAUUAAUACAAUAAUUGCAUAUUUUAAUGGUGCAAAUCUUAGAGAUAGUUACAAUUUCAUUGUAUUUGUAAAUAUAUGCGAAUUCAAAUUCGGCGUUUGGUUCGAAAUAUUUAAAUUUAAAUUGCUACAGUUGAAACUGUAUCAACUGUAGCAGAUGAGAAAAGUAAAUUUAAACUAGAAAUAAACUUAAUUACCUCUUUAAUUAAUUACUUUUUUAAUAAAAAUUUUACAAAAACACAUUUCUUAACUACAUGUCAUUAAAUAAAUUAUUUAUAAUUGAAAAAUUAUUGCUUUAUUGAUCAAGAAAAUAAAUGAUGGUGAUGAUAUGAUGGUCCCUUCGAUCACUGGAUAAAUGAUAUUAAAAAAAAAUUAUGAAAUUUAUUUUCUAAAUACUUUAAAUACUUUGGAUCAAAUUUAAUAAAAUCGAUCGUCAAUUUAGAAGUCUCAAUAUCAAAAACAACUUGAUAGCUGAAGGUCAUCUUGUUUCUAAAAGCAAACAGAUCUCUAUCUCUAUAUAUAGGGGGGAUAAUUUUUUGAUGUGAUACAAUAAUACUAUUUUAAUAUGAAACAAAAUUGCUACAAAAUUUUCAAAAAAUAAUUUUUAAUAAUAUUUGAGGUUGAAUUAUGAACAAUUAUUUGUUGAGGUUCUUAAAAUGGCCCAACCAACCUAACUGUGAACCCUAAUUGUCACUCUUUAUGGGAGCCAAGGGCAUUGAACUACAUAUUAUUUAUGCAUGAGGUAAUAAUAAUACUUAAUUAUUAUAAUUGAACCAACAAAUAAGAACAAAAAGUACAAACCCUCUAUAAAUAAAUAAAUAAUAAAUAAAUAUAUAUAUAUAUAUAUAUAUAAUAUAUAUAUAUAUAUAUAUAUUAUAUAUAUAUAUAUAUAGAAUUAGUUUUUAUACUAUCUAUAGUACCGGAGCUUCAGUACUAAGUUUUGUUUUCGAUCUUAGGGUGUUCAAAUUAAUGAUCCUACCGUUAAAUAUGAUCUAGGGUAUAUGAAGUUUUUAGAAAUAAAAUUUUAUUUUUUUCAACAUCGUUUAUUAGUAAAUAAAUUAUGUCAAAAUAGACGGUGAAAUUGAAUAAUCUUAAAAAUUGAGCAUAGGACUUUUAAAUUCA
rnacentral:lncRNA from 1 species